rfam:TPA: Bos taurus chromosome 18, whole genome shotgun sequence.
UCCCUGGAAAUCCAGUGGUUAGGACUCCAUGCUUCCACUGUUGGAAUGCAGGUUCAAUUCCUGGUCAGGGAA